UGGGGAAUAUUGGACAAUGGGGGCAACCCUGAUCCAGCGAUGCCGCGUGAGUGAAGAAGGCCUUCGGGUUGUAAAACUCUUUCACCUGUGAAGAUAAUGACGGUAGCAGGAGAAGAAGCACCGGCAAACUCUGUGCCAGCAGCCGCGGUAAUACAGAGGGUGCUAGCGUUNUUCNGAAUGACUGGGCGUAAAGGGCGCGUAGGCGGUUCAUCAAGUCAGAUGUGAAAGCCCCGGGCUUAACCUGGGAACGGCAUUUGAUACUGGUUAACUGGAGUACGAGAGAGGAAAGUGGAAUUCCUAGUGUAGAGGUGAAAUUCGUAGAUAUUAGGAGGAACACCAGAGGCGAAGGCGGCUUUCUGGCUCGUAACUGACGCUGAGGCGCGAAAGCGUGGGGAGCAAACAGGAUUAGAUACCCUGGUAGUCCACGCCGUAAACGAUGAGUGCUAGACGUUGGUGGUUUACCAUCAGUGUCGCAGCUAACGCAUUAAGCACUCCGCCUGGGGAGUACGGUCGCAAGAUU
rnacentral:rRNA from 1 species